GAGCUGACUGUGAUAUUUGUCACCCAUUUAUCCCCAGGUGUUUUGGCUCAUCUAGCUGAGAGGGCAGAUAUCCCCUUCCU
rnacentral:sRNA from 1 species